ACGCACGCUGGCGGCCGGCCUAACACAUUCCAGUCGCGCGCCCUUUCGGUUGAGCGUCGGACGGGUGAGUAACGCGUGGGAAUAUGCCCUUCUCUACGGAAUUGCCUCUGGAAACUGAGUGUAAUACCGUAUACGCCCUGUGUGGGUAAGAUUUAUCGGGGAAGGAUUAGCCCGCGUUGGAUUAGGUAGUUGGUGGGGUAAUGGCCUACCAAGCCGACGAUCCAUAGCUGGUUUGAGAGGAAGAUCAGCCACACUGGGACUGAGACACGGCCCAGACUCCUACGGGAGGCAGCAGUGGGGAAUAUUAGAAAAUGGGGGCAACCAUGAUCAAGCCAUGCGGGGUGAGUGAUGAAGGCCUUAGGGUAGUAAAGCUCUUUCAGAUGGGAAGAUAAUGACGGUAACAGAAGAAGAAGCACCGGCUAACUACGUG
rnacentral:rRNA from 1 species